UCAUAGGGCUGGGAUGCGAAUCGAGGGCGGAGCGGGAGCGGGGCGGGGCGGGGCGGGCAGCUCCCUGGUGUCGGGAAGGGCGAUCUGUGCUGGUCCAGCUCAAGACUGGGCGCCAAGUUCCUCCAGGGUGCUGGGCUCCAGAGACGGCCCCUCCCGCAAGCUGCAGGACGAAAGGAGGAGGACGUGCUCCACGCAGCAGAAAAUCGUCCCUGCAGGGCAGGCAGACCGCGGCCGCAUGGGCGCUGGAGAAGCCAGCAAGUGGGAGGCCUCCAGCACAUCCCACGGAAGAAUUGUCAAUUACACAAACAGAGGAAACGGCAACUGGGAAGAACCAUCAGUUACAGGUCCAACAGGAAAGCAUGUAUAAUGCAUUGCAUCUCCUACAAGAAACUGACCACCCCAGCAACUCAACCAACAACAAACGGUGAACUCUUGCGUUCCCCCAAUGGACUUUUGUUCAAAACAACCCUUCUCGACUUCCUCCUCUUUCUCCAUACAACAUCGUUCCUUGCCUUCAUUGGUUGAACUUGCUGAUGGCUUGCUUGUCCCCAGUUGCAAUUCUUUGCUUUUCCUGAGUAAACCCAUUUCUGCUGGUAAUGUAA